rnacentral:rRNA from 1 species
AUUAGCAGCUAUGUCACCCUGAACUCACAACUGACAACCCCCUGGAGCUCAGCAGGUGUGAGCCUGGUCAGUACCUGGAUGGGAGACCUCCUGGGAAAAACUAAGGUUGCUGUAGGAA